UACGAAGGGUGCAAACGUUGCUCGGAAUUAUUGGGCGUAAAGCGCACGUAGGCGGCUACGCAAGUCGGAUGUGAAAUCCCUCGGCUCAACCAAGGAAGUGCAUCCGAAACUGUGUAGCUUGAGUACCAAAGAGGAUCGCGGAAUUCCCGGUGUAGAGGUGAAAUUCGUAGAUAUCGGGAGGAACACCAGUGGCGAAGGCGGCGAUCUGGGUGGAUACUGACGCUGAGGUGCGAAAGCGUGGGGAGCAAACAGG
rnacentral:rRNA from 1 species